rnacentral:rRNA from 1 species
AUUGAACGCUGGCGGCAGGCCUAACACAUGCAAGUCGAACGAGUGGCGGACGGGUGAGUUAUGUCUGAGAAACUGCCUGAUGGAGGGGGAUAACUGCUGGAAACGGUAGCUAAUACCGCAUACCAUCAGAUGUUCCCAGAUGGGAUGAGCUUGUUGGUGGGGUAACGGCUCACCAAGGCGACGAGCCCUAGCUGGUCUGAGAGGAUGACGAGCCACACUGGAACGGAGACGCGGUCCAGACUCCGACGGGAGGCAGCAGUGGGGAACAUUGCACAAUGGGCGCAAGCCUGAAGCAGCCAUGCGGCGUGUAUGAAGAAGGCCUUCGGGUUGUAAAGUACUUUCAGCGGGGAGGCGUUACCCGCAGAAGAAGCACCGGCUAACUCCGUGCCAGCAGCCGCGGUAAUAC